ACAAAUUCAAAUUCAAAUAUAUUUUAUUGCUAAUCAAAGCGCCCACAAGGAGCAGAACAAUCAACAUUAAUUACAUACAAAUGAUUACAAGUGAUUCAAUAUGAUUAACACAAAAUGUUAUAAAAAAAAAACCAAAAAAAUAACCAAACCAAAAAAUAUUUAUUAAGACAAGUACAAGAAUACAACAAGCACAGUGUUUAAUAACAUAAGGGGGUGACUGGGCAUUUUUAUAUCUAUAUAUCAUUUAAGGAAACUUUCCUAUAUGAGGAUAAAUUUUCAAAUAAUUCUCCGAGUUUCUGGAGUAUGAAAGUAUCUUCAGAGGACAUUAGCCAAAUAAAUUGUGAUUUAAUAUCUAAACCACUAAAAUUUUUAAACCGUUGUUUUAUUUCAUUUAAAAAGUUGAAACGAAUAUUUGAAAGUUUGUGGCACUGAAGAAGAAAAUGAAUUUCAUCCUCAACCUCAGUACCGCACAAUUUACAGAUACGUUCUGACACUGUCAGAUUUUUGUACCUUCCCCUCUCAAUCUCUAAAUCGUGAGCACUGAUACGGAAUUUCGUUAAAUAAU
rnacentral:lncRNA from 1 species